GAUGAACGCUGGCGGCGUGCCUAAUACAUGCAAGUCGAGCGAACGGACGAUAAGCUUGCUUCUCUGAUGUUAGCGGCGGCCGGGUGAGUACCACGUGGAUACCCUACCUAUAAUACUGGGUUAACUUCGGGAAACCGGAGCUAAUACCGGAUGAUAUUUUGAACCGCAUGGUUCAACAGUGAAAGACGCUCUUUCUGUCACUUAUAGAUGGAUCGGCGCUGCAUUAGCUAGUUGUUAAGGUAACGGCUUACCAAGGCAACGAUGCCUAGCCGACGUGCGCGGGGGAUCGGCGACACUGGAAGGGAGACACGGUCCAGACGCCUACGGGAGGCAGCAGUAGGGAAGGUUACGCAAUGGGCGGAAGCCGGACGGAGCAACGCCGCGGGAGGGAUGAAGGUGUUCGGAGCGUAAAACUCUGUUAUUAGGGAAGAACAUAUGUGUAAGUAACUGUGCACAGCUUGACGGUACCGAAUCAGAAAGCCACGGCUAACUACGUG
rnacentral:rRNA from 1 species